GAAAUGAACAAACAACAAGCACAUUCAAGCAGCCCUUCACCAGAGAGCAUGCGGGCAGCCCGGACGUCAUGUUCCCUGUGAUGUUCCCUCUCUCUUUUUCUUUGCUGGGGUAGGAGGAUUUUACUUAUUUUCUAGAUUUUAGUGAAAUCAGAUUAUAAACCAGUUAAGUUUCAGACACUUCUAAUUUUUUACUUUGAGGGUAUUUCAGGGACCCUAAUAUCCUUCUUCUGGUUUCAAAACUGCCAACAUUUUGUCUGGAUGGGGAGGGACUGUUUAAAUGUUUAAUCCCACAUUCCCACCUAUCUCUCUCAAUUUCUCGCUCUCUCUCUCUCUAAUCACCAGACUUUCUUUUCUGGAGUAAUUUUCAGUUUACAGAAAAGUUGAGCAGAAAGUUUGGAGAGUUAUCAUCCACCCCCCGCCAUACAUAGAUGCACAGUUUCCCUUAUUAUUAGCAUUUGGCACUAGGGUGGUAUACUUGCUCUAUUUGUUCCAACUGGUGAGCCAAUAUUAAUCCCGUAUUAUUAUUAUUAACUAAGGCCUACAGUUGACAUUAAGACUCACUCUUUGUAUUGUAUACUCUAUGUGAGUUUUGAUAAUUGCAUAAUGGCAUGUAUCCACGAAUACAGGAUCAAACAGAAGAGUGUCACUGCCCUAAAAUCUCCAGUGCCCCACAUACUCAUCCUUUCUUCCCUCCCCCCAAACCCCUGGCAACCACUGAUCUUUUUCCCAUCUCUGUAAUUUUGCCUCUUCUGCAAGGUCAUAUAGUUAGAACCAGACAGUAUGUAGUAUUUUCAAUGUCUAUUUUUUGUUCCUCUUUCCCCCAGGUCUUCACACCAUUUCCAUCAUCUCAAAACACACACACACACACACACACACACACACACACAAACACACGAUCCCUCCAAAACAGAAUAGAAAAUUUGAGAAAAUGAGAAAAGCCCAUAACUAGCCUGGCUCACAAACUAAUUAAGUAUGAAAGGGCAAUUGGGGGGUCAUUUUCUAACUCUGCCCACCUUCCUAUCAGGAAGUAAGCACUGAUUUUUCAUCCCACACAGGAGAGCCAGGCCUCUUCUCCCAGCUCGGUCUGCUCGCUUCUUGUUUCCCUAGAAGCAAGGGCCUCUUUGCCUGCACUGUGUCUGAGCGACACCAGCAAAGCCCGAGUCUCUUCACAUCAAUGGACACGUCCCGAAGGCAGGGUGUUUGCAAUUACAGCCAGAGCUGGCUGAGGGAUCAGAGAGCUGCCAGGCCGGCAAGGCCCGGCCCGGAGAGCAUCUUUGAUGAAUGACGGGGUCAUUAGUAUGAAUGUUAUGUGGGGAUGCAGGUAAAGUCCUGUGGCAGGAACGCUUUUCUCCCUUUAUCUUGUCUUAGCUGUAAAGACAGACAUAAAUAUACAUGCAUAUAUGCAUAGACCCCAAUACAUUCCCCCUGGAGAGUAGGGAAAUGAAGUCAGACCAAGUAUUUCUCACACAUUCUGGAACAAUCCUUCUGCAGGGCCUCUGUCUUUUCAAAGUCUCCUCUUUUUCACUGCUACGUCAUCUGCUCUCCAGGGGCAUGAGUGUGGCUUAGUCCUAAAUUGGGGGACUGAUCUCCUUUUCCCCCAGCUUUUUGGUUCUAACAUCUGAUAAUUUAUAUAUUUUGUUGAGUUGUAGCUUUUCUCUCUAUGGAGAUAUUUUCUGCCACUUUUGUUUCUUGCAGGGAAGAUUAAAAAAAUACCUAGUUGAUCCUAGCAUCAGGAUAGCACUUCUUUGGGGAACCCACCUUUUUCUUGCUCCUCACUGUAUGUGUCUAUGUUCUGUGGUGCAGAAGGUUGACAAUCAUCCCUUCAGGCUUAUUUGGUAAAUCUGUGUCCCUGUGGGUGGGCCUAGUGUCCCCUGAAGGAAGGAGGCACACCCAGUGUUAAUCAUCUGGGGACCAGGCCAUGUUAAGCUGGAAAUUUCCAUCCUAGGAGGCAUAGAAGGGACCUCCCAGUCUCUCCACUUUAGUUUCAGUCUUUGAGGAGGCUUGAUGUCUUUAGGGUGGUCCAGAGUUUCAGGGGUUCAAGAUCACCCCCUUGAUGGGGAGGUGUGAUGGGAACUGGGAAGACGCUGGUCGGCUCGGUGACGUAAGCUGACUGUGGAAAGUCUCCUUCAUCUCCCACCACAGGUUCCUAACAGACCGUAAUGCUCUGACAACCCCUGAACACCAGAGGCGAGAAGGAUAUUUACAUCUGAGGGUGUUAACUGCUUGGUGAGAAGGAAUUACCUGCUCUGCCAUAGUCUUACAAACAUGCCUGGACCAGCCCGCUGGAGGGUACCAGAUACGUGGAACAGAGCAGAGCCACUCUGUUUGCUACAGCUCCUGCUGUUUGGCAUCUGAGUUACGACAUCCUGUGUCUCUACGCUUUGGGGAAGCUGCUGAUUUGGAAAAUAAGAAGGUCUGACUGAACUCCAGGAGGAAGAGAACCCGAGUCAGAGCUGAGGUUCUAAGUCAGCAGUGCAGCAGCAGCAAUAUGUGAACAUAGGAGAGAAGGCAGGAGACCUGCACCCCUGGACGGAGGAAAUGCAACCCCCAGGCAAGGGAGAAUGCACAAGGGGCUGCCCAGGCCGUCUUUGGAGA